rfam:Felis catus isolate Cinnamon breed Abyssinian chromosome B4, whole genome shotgun sequence.
GCCUGGGUGGCUCAGUUGGUUGAGCGUCCGACUUCGGCUCAGGUCAUGAUCUAGCAGUUCGUGAGUUCGAGCCCCAUGUCAGGCU